rnacentral:rRNA from 1 species
UACGGAGGGGGCUAGCGUUGUUCGGAAUUACUGGGCGUAAAGCGCACGUAGGCGGACUGUUAAGUCGGGGGUGAAAUCCUGGGGCUCAACCUCAGAAUUGCCUCCGAUACUGGCAGUCUCGAGUACGGGAGAGGUGAGUGGAAUUCCCAGUGUAGAGGUGAAAUUCGUAGAUAUUGGGAAGAACACCAGUGGCGAAGGCGGCUCACUGGCCCGUAACUGACGCUGAGGUGCGAAAGCGUGGGGAGCAAACGGG